rnacentral:lncRNA from 1 species
CCAUUCUAUCAGAUCCUGUAGCAAAUACCUGAGAAUUUGCAAAAGAGGCCAUUCAGCAUGAACAUUUUAAAGGAACUAACUCAUAUUUUGCUAAUUAGAAGAAGAAGAAGAAGAAGAAGAAGAAGAAGAAGAAGAAGAAGAAGAAGAAGAAGAAGAAGAAGAAGAAGAAGAAGAAAGACAAGACACCUAGCUCCAUUAUUAUCAUAUAUUGCGAUUCUAGAGGUCUGGACUCUGGUCCCCAGGUUUGAGAGAAAAUUGAAAAACAUACUAAAACAAGUUUCCAGCUAGCCAUAAACGUAUUUCACCAUCAGUCUGUCUGCUGCCUUUGCUACCUGCUUUUGAGAGAGUCCUGUACAGAUGGAGCCUUGGUCUUG